GCUGCCCGCGAUGUCACGAGAAGUCCACUGAACCUUAUCAUUUAGAGGAAGGAGAAGUUGUAAGAAGGUUUUCAGAGGUGAACCUGCGGAAGCAUCAUUG
rnacentral:rRNA from 1 species